CAUCCUAUUCCCUUCUAUUCUCAUAAUGCCAUCUCAUGUGUCCAACCGACCUGUUCGAGGUUCAAAGCCUCUUAAGUCUAGAGAUGAGUGGCACAUAAUGCAUCUUCUUGUAAGAUACUUGUAUAUGAUUCUCACCUUCUAUCCUACCUAGUUUGUAUUGAGAAUAACCACAAAACUUGCAAUCAAUUAAAGACUCAUCAUCCUUGUAAUACAAUAUACACCC
rnacentral:lncRNA from 1 species